UUGAAACACCGAUUCCCGUAAGAUCACUGAAGUUAAGCAUCGUCAAUCCGGGUCACUACCUAGAUGGAUGACCGCUUGAGAAUAUCAGGUGCAGUA